UAUGAUGGUUCAAAUGACCUACAGCUGCU
rnacentral:piRNA from 1 species